rnacentral:rRNA from 1 species
UUCCACUCAUUGGUACAAACUCCAAACAUUCUUCCAAAUUCGACCUCAAAUCAGGUAGGACUACCCGCUGAACUUAAGCAUAUCAAUAAGCGGAGGAAAAGAAACCAACAGGGAUUGCCUUAGUAGCGGCGAGUGAAGCGGCAAAAGCUCAAAUUUGAAAUCUGGCACUUUCAGUGUCCGAGUUGUAAUUUGAAGAAGGUAUCUU